AUUGAACGCUGGCGGCAUGCUUUACACAUGCAAGUCGAACGGCAGCGCGGGCUUCGGCCUGGCGGCGAGUGGCGAACGGGUGAGUAAUGCAUCGGAACGUACCCAGUAGUGGGGGAUAGCCCGGCGAAAGCCGGAUUAAUACCGCAUACGACCUGAGGGUGAAAGCGGGGGACCGAAAGGCCUCGCGCUAUUGGAGCGGCCGAUGUCGGAUUAGCUAGUUGGUGGGGUAAAGGCUUACCAAGGCGACGAUCCGUAGCUGGUCUGAGAGGACGACCAGCCACACUGGGACUGAGACACGGCCCAGACUCCUACGGGAGGCAGCAGUGGGGAAUUUUGGACAAUGGGGGCAACCCUGAUCCAGCCAUGCCGCGUGCGGGAAGAAGGCCUUCGGGUUGUAAACCGCUUUUGUUCGGGAAGAAAUCCUCUGGGCUAAUACCCCGGGGGGAUGACGGUACCGGAAGAAUAUGCACCGGCUAACUACGUG
rnacentral:rRNA from 1 species